CUCUCGCUGCUAUAGAUCCGUUUGACUAAGCCCCUCCAAUGUAAUCUCUCUUUGUCACGCCUCUCUCUCUCAAUCUCUCCUGUCGUUCUUGGUCUCAUGUUUUUCUUCUUCCCCACAUGGAAAAUUCUGCUGCUCCUAACAGAAAUCAACCGACCUACCUCUCCCUAUACAUAUUCUUUGCUUGCUCCUUGAUGAUGAGGUCUUUCAAUCUACGAUCGCCUCCGUUUCAGGCAUAUGCUCCUCCUCCCUGCCGGUCGCUGCGGUAGAUUCGUUUUCACUAACCCCCUCCAAAAUUACUUGCAGCAGUACUUUUGUGGUUUUCUUGGCCUCGAACCGAUCUAGACCUGCUUGCCAUAGAAAAUAAUCAUAGCCUCAACUUUUCACGGUUUCGCCAACCCAUCAUGAUUGCUCGAGAUCGCAGCGGCCGCCUGCGCUAUCGGCCAGCCAUCUGCUUGGCUUGGUGUGCUUCCGGUGUUAUUUCUAGCAGCGACAUUAUUGUUGGGGGAAGGCCGGGCAGACGGAUCACCAACACCAUCAGAAAUUAUCAUGAGGUCAACACUACUUAACAAGUCAUGCUGGCUUCGUCUCCGGACUAGCAUCCGCCUUGGCAAUGGCGACCGAGAGAGUUGCAGAGUAAGUUUGGGAAUAGUCGAAUUUCAGUCAUACAUGCUAUAUUUAUGCUCAUGACGGCACCAUCGAAAUCGAUCUGAAAGGGCCGGAAUCCCAGUGCUCACCUGCUACUGAACAAGAGGACUACCAACGAAGGAGAGUGGUCAAAGACUCGAACUGUGGUGAUCCCCCAGUUUCUCAGUAUUUAGUUACCGGGUUAUCUUGCCCAAGAUGAUAUCAGUUUUUGUUUUACUCCUUUCGCUGAACCAGCAGUGUUGCUGUAAGUUGGUCCAUAGAACGAUGUUCUUUGUGUUUCAUUUUCAAUGAAAUAUGGAUGGAACCGGGACAGGGCCUUUUCAUAGAAACAAAGUUACCCUCAUGAUCUCGUUCAGUAUAAUCGUAUCGGGAUGCACAUCCACAAUUUUUGUAGAAGAAUGUAGUUCGUAGUUACAUACUAGAAUCUUGCAUCACAAACAUGUACAUGUUCUCUAUAAUCUACCAAUGAUGAAAUUCUGACCAUAUGUCAUUAAAAAUAUCCAUUCUUAUUCAUUAGGCACACAUAAGUACAAUACAGAUAAACCACAC